GGCUAACUUUUAUGCAAUCAGCCCCUAAUUCAAGUUAUUAGACUUCUUUCCCCAUACAAUUUGGUUUGUUUUAUGUAGAAUUUUAUUUUGAAGAAGUUCAAUGAUUUAUAAGCUCUCAACAAAGGAGUUAUACGCUUUAAGCAUGAUGUUACAAGCUUUCUGCAAGAAGUUAUAAACAACACGUUACAAACUUUAUGUAUGAAGUUACAAGCUUCCAGUGAAGUUAUAAACUGUCAUUAAGGAGUUACAAGUUUUCUGCACAAAUUUACAAAAUCUCAUAAGAAGUUACAACAUUGAACAAAAUUAAGGCCUAUACUUGAAAUAAACUCCUUUGAGUUUGCACGACCAUGUAAACUCCUUUGAGUUUGCACGACCAUGCAAGAUAUUAUGUAGGAUCGUUCAAACGCAAGCGAGAAUCUUCACCGUGCCUAAAUUAUGUAGGUCCGUGCAAGCCAUGUAUGUAGGGUUUUGCAGGAGUGCGGGAAUGCAACCAUGUUUAGGGUUUCACUAUAAAAAGAAAGGACAAACCUUGGAAAACAAUCCCUAGACUACUACUAUGAAUUUGGGCACCUUUGAAUCUCUUUUUGGACAUCCAAACACUUGUGGAGAUAAUUUAACGGUCCAAAUUUUAAUCCACUGCGUUACCUAACUAUGUUGAUUUUUUGGAGAAAGUUUCUUGCCUGGAGCAACACUUGAGACGGAGAUUUGGAGUUAAACGUUGAAGAAUCUGAAGAAAAAAAAAAAGAAUGAUCAAGGAACAAAACACAUUGGAGGGUAUUAUAGUGCAAAUGGAAUCAUCAUGUAUAUGGAACGCUUAUAAAAAGAAUCAAGUUUAUGUAACAAAACACUGGCCAAUAGUUUUAAAGUGUAAGUUGCUUAUGUAUCCAUUUUUCAUUGGUUAAAUAUUCUAAGGGGACCACAAUUGAAGCAAUAAGUCCUGGAUUGAGCUAGUGUCUAUUUUUGAGGUCCCAUGACAAGAUAGCAACUUUGUACAAAUACAUUUUUUGACAAAAGUUUGUAAAAAUACAUGGUACCCAAAUUUUAGAAA